GACGAACGCUGGCGGCGUGCUUAACACAUGCAAGUCGAACGCUGAAGCUCAGCUUUUGUUGGGUGGAUGAGUGGCGAACGGGCGAGUAACACGUGAGUAACCUGCCUCCUUCUUUGGGAUAACGCCCGGAAACGGGUGCUAAUACUGGAUAUUCACUGGUCUUCGCAUGGGGGUUGGUGGAAAGGGUUUUUCUGGUGGGGGAUGGGCUCGCGGCCUAUCAGCUUGUUGGUGGGGUGAUGGCCUACCAAGGCUUUGACGGGUAGCCGGCCUGAGAGGGUGACCGGUCACAUUGGGACUGAGAUACGGCCCAGACUCCUACGGGAGGCAGCAGUGGGGAAUAUUGCACAAUGGGCGCAAGCCUGAUGCAGCGACGCCGCGUGAGGGAUGGAGGCCUUCGGGUUGUGAACCUCUUUCGCUCAUGGUCAAGCCGCAACAAUGGUUGUGGUGAGGGUAGUGGGUAAAGAAGCGCCGGCUGACUACGUG
rnacentral:rRNA from 1 species